GUGAAGUUCGUAAUCUGUGGAUAGCAUCCGCGUCGCGCAUAAUUAUUAUCAAUGUUAUUCUGAUUCCCUCCUUUUCUUUGGGUUUUUAAUAUAUAAGCUAAGUUUACUUUUUGCAUGGUGUGAAGCCAUAUAAGGCUUGGAAAGAAUAGAUUUUAAAGUUCAUUAUUGUCUACAUUCCGAAAUUCAGAAUGCGUAAAGUAUCGAAAAGCAGAACAGACGAUGAUGUCGUUUCUUCAACGAACGGCUCCGGAUCGCUUGCUAACGACGAUCAACCAGGAGCGGACCAAUCAGGGGAGCAGAAUGAAAGUGAGGCGUCCAAACAUAAUGAUAGUAUCAACGAAGACGACUCCGAGCAUAAUACCAGUAGAUCCAGAACUAAAUCCAGGAAAAGUAAAGGUGGAAAAGGUAAAAAAGAUGAUACUGAUGAAGAUAUUGAAAUUAAAAAUAACGUCAAUAGUGAUGACGAUAACGAAGAGUCAAAAGAAACGAAAAAAAGAACUCCCAAAAGUAAGGCCAAAGGCAAAGCUAAAAAAGGAAAAACUGUUAGAGAGUCCAAAAAUGAAGAUGAUGAAGAAGAAUAUGAGGUUGAAAGUAUAAUAGAUUCAAAAAGAAUCAAAGGUAAGCUUCACUAUUUGAUACGAUGGAAAGGAUUCAGUGCAGAUAGUGAUUCAUGGGAGCCACAUGACACAUUGUCAUGUCCUGAUAUUAUUAGUAAAUAUAAUGAGGAAAAAGAAAAUCCUCCAAAGAAAGGCAAGAGGAAAUCCAAAAAGAAAGAAAGUAAGGUUCCGGCAAAAAGAACCAAAACAAGCUGGGACAGCGAACAUGCAGAUGAAAAUGCUGAGUAUGAAGUGGACCGCAUAUUAGAAGUCCAUCGCAAGAAGAAUGGUGAACGAGAGUUUCUCAUCCAUUGGAAAGGGUGGUCUAACAAAUUUGACUCUUGGGAACCAGAGAAAAAUUUAAACUGUCCGGAUUUAAUAAAAAAAUUCAUGGAUAAAGUGAAUGCGGCCCAGUUGAUCGAGGGGCGUAGUCUUCGAGUGGCGCCGGAGACGACCAACAGAUUCACACUUCAAGCCCACUCUACGGGACGUCGUCUCAGCAAGCGCAAGGGGCAAAGGCAACGGUAAAAUAGCAUCAAAACUCUGUUAUGCUUGUUGCCAGCAUGUUAAAACUUCUGUAUGGCAAUUUUUUCUAAGAGUGCGAUACGAUGAUGCCGAAUGAGGCGUUUACCGGCAAAAGGUUCUAUUAAGAUAUAAAUAUAUAAUAGAUAAGAUAUAAGAAAUAAAUUUUGUGAAUAUUUUAAGGUUAAUUAGAAGAUACUCUCCUAGAUCUAUGAGCUGAUCUAUUCUUGAUAUUUAACUUAUAGGAAUCAUUUUUGUUGAUGUUCAUUUCUGUAAAAAAAUUAAAAUAACAUUUGAACUAUAAAUCAGUAAAUUACCGAGUACUUUAAAAUGUACUAAGCUGAACUAAUUACUAUUAACUUUAGUACAAUAAUAUGUAUAAUAUGAUCCAUAUUAUACAUAUUAUUGUACUAAGGUUACAUAUAUGAUAGGUGUGUAAUGGUUUCAUUAAUGCUAAAUCCCCUAUGGCAAAAUAUAUAAUUUGCUUAUUUAAAUAUUUGGACUGGACUCCAAAUGCCCUUCUCGAAUUAGUUGGGUUGUACAAUUAAGAGCAAAUUUUAAUUGUAGGCUUCUAAGGUUUUUCUGGCGGUUUCUUCACGAUGUUUACAUUGACUGUAUGAGCAAGCUUUGCAUGCACGUAGAAUGAUUAAUGCAUUGGUGCAUAGGUGGGAUUCGAACAAUUUUUGAUCUAAGGGAUGUAAGUUGUUCGAGGAUUUGUAAUGUUUUAGUUUGAAAUAUUUUUUUAUUAGAAGUCACAUAUAAUUUGAUAUGAUUUCGGUUAAGGGGCCAUAUUCUUCUUGGGUCUUAUUCGAGUUCUUCACACCUAUCUUUUGUCUAGGUCAUGUGCAAUUGAAACAUCUAUAUGUAUCUAACAUAGAUCAUAAUACUAUAUAUAAGGAUCCCAAAGUUUUAAGAAAAAACGAUUUAUCGCGUUUAUAUUAAAAUUAUAUAUUUAGGUAAAUAUAAGAAAAAAUCUAUAAUAAUUAGUGUGUUCGAACGAAUUUCGAAUGAUCUUCCAUCUUUCACCCUUUUUAAAUUUGUGACAUUUGAAGAAUUUUGUAUAAUGACAGAAUGAUUUUUGUACAAUAAAUACACAUUUAUAUUUAAUUACCAUUUAAACUGAUAACGUAUCUUUAUUGAAAUACUUUUACUUGGUUAUGACAUUUAUAAUUUAUAUAAUAUUAUAAAAUUGUAUUAGGCUCAACUGCUAAAAUAAAUAACAAAAAAUACAAAAUAGCAUAAUCUGCUGUAUCUCACACCAUUACCAAUGUGUUUUACUGAUAGAUUGCAUUCUGCUUAAAACUUAUAGAUUCAAGGGUGGAAUAUCUGAUCAUUUUUAUUUAAAUAAAGACUUCCUUUAUAUUACACCUACAAAUACCAUCGAGUUUAAGAUUACAUGUUUAUCAUGCAUUACAUUGUAUUGUUUUGUGAAUAGUUGUAACGUAAUAAAUAGUAUAUAGUAUA